CCUGACAACCAAUCAGGCCAGUGNUUCCC
rnacentral:piRNA from 1 species